GUGAGGCGCACCUAGGGUUCCGCCGCGGCGCGACGCCGCGGGACUGGUCCGAGAGGUGACGGCGGAUCGCACAGAUCCGUUCCACGGCGGGACAAAAGCCCGGGAGGC
rnacentral:sRNA from 2 species